rnacentral:rRNA from 1 species
CCUACGGGGGGCAGCAGUGAGGAAUAUUGGGCAAUGCCCGAAAGGGUGACCCAGCAACGCCGCGUGGAGGAUGAAAGCCGUAAGGUUGUAAACUCCUGUGAGGAGGGACGAAUGGUUUCGAUAGAAUCGAAAUUUGACUGUACCUCCAGAGGAAGCCCCGGCUAACUACGUGCCAGCAGCCGCGGUAAUACGUAGGGGGCAAGCGUUGUCCGGAUUUACUGGGUGUAAAGGGCGCGUAGGCGGGCCCAUAAGUCAGAGGUGAAAGCCUGCAGCUUAACUGCAGAACUGCCUUUGAUACUGUGGGUCUUGAGUGCGGUAGAGAGGAAUGGAAUUCCAGGUGUAGUAGUAAAAUACGUAGAUAUCUGGAAGAACACCAGUUGCGAAGGCUGUUCCUUGGGCCGUUACUGACGCUGAGGCGCGAAAGCGUGGGGAGCAAACAGGAUUAGAUACCCCGGUAGUCC